CUACGGGUUGCACCUGUGGGGAAUUUUGCGCAAUGGGGGAAACCCUGACGCAGCAAUACCGCGUGAGUGAAGAAGGCCUUUGGGUCGUAAAGCUCUUUUCUUGGGGAAGAUAGUGACGGUACCCAAGGAAUAAGCACCGGCUAACUCCGUGCCAGCAGCCGCGGUAAUACGGAGGGUGCAAGCGUUGUUCGGAUUUACUGGGCGUAAAGGGCACGUAGGCGGCACAGCAAGUUAAGGGUGAAAUCCCGGGGCUCAACUCCGGAACUGCUCUUAAAACUGCUGAGCUAGAGAUAGCCAGAGGCGGGUGGAAUUCCAGGUGUAGAGGUGAAAUUCGUAGAUAUCUGGAGGAACACCGGUGGCGAAGGCGGCCCGCUGGGGCUAUUCUGACGCUAAGGUGCGAAAGCGUGGGGAGCAAACGGGAUUAGAUACCCCUGUAGUC
rnacentral:rRNA from 1 species